GGAAACAAACCUCAGUUAUGACUGAAGCUGUAGGAAUCACAGUUGUUCUGGUUGUCAUAAUCUGUCUCAUUGGCUUCUUGUGGUUCAGGAGAGCCACAGGAGGAAGUGAUGACACAGCGGUCACACAGAGUGUGCAUCCUGACCAUAACAUUGACACAUACACAGGUCUGAACAUAAAGACCAUGUCCCCUGACUACGACACUCUGGCAAGUGUCCAUCCUGAUCCUAACAGUGAGACGUACACACCUCUGAACAUGAAGACCAGGUCACCAGAGUAUGACACCCUGGCAAAUGGGAGGGGCUCCCCCAGUGACACAGCCCCUCAGAUUGGGCUCCCGAGUGGCGCAGCAGUCUAAGGCACUGCAUCUCUUAGUCACAACCGGCAGUGAUUGGGAGUUCCAUAGGGCGGUGCACAAUUGGCCGAGCAUCGUUCGAGUUUGGCCGGUGUAGGCCGUCAUUGUAAAUAAGAGUUUGACUUGCCUAGUUAAAAAAAUAAAUAAACAGAAUUAUAGAUGCUGAGCCCUCUGAUUAUGAGAACUGAAAAGAACCACCAUGGAAUCUGGACUGCAGAGAACCACCACGGAAUCUGGACUGCAGAGAACCACCACGGAAUCUGGACUGCAGAGAACCACCACGGAAUCUGGACUGCAGAGAACCACCACUGAACAUGGACUACAGAAAACCACCAAGGAAAAUGUCCUGAAGAGAACCACCACAGAACAUGGACUGAAGAGAUCCACCAAAGAACAUGGACUGUAGAUCUUCUGCACCAAACCAAAGCUAGGCCUUACACCUCUAUUCUCCUGCUGUCAUAUUGCUAUCAUAUCUAGAAGGUUUUCCAGAGCAUUAGUAAUUAAGUAAAUGCUGGAGAUGAAUUCUCAUUCCUUGAAAAUAUUAUUAUGUAGAUUGCUAAAUUUUUUUAUAGAUUAUGAUUCUGCUCUUUUAUAUGGGAUUUUGCCAUUUCCAGAUUUUUUGAUUAGCUAAUGUACUUCUCUUAGUGACUAAUAUGGAUAAUCUUGAUAACAGCUUUUUAAUGUGUAUUGCUCUUGGACCAAUGUGCUCUUGAUAUGUACAAAUGAUCUACUUUGUAUUGCUGUUAGACAUUAUUGCGCAAAGACAUUCAUGAAAAGGAAUGCUAAUACCAUAAUCAAGCUUGUUUUAUUGUCAAAUUAUUCAUUAUCUAUAUUAUAUUGAGUGUGAUUCAGUGUCAUUCAUGCAUCAUGUUGUAAAUAAUCUCACAGUUUAUGACAAUAAAUACAAAUAUUUUGGGCGUGGAAAUAUUACAGUUUAGCCUGUCAUUCUUAAUUAUCUGUUAUCUUGAAAAUCUUAAAGAUGAAUUCAUACAGGUAUUCCUCAGUACAGUAGACAGUUAUUUUAAUAAUGAAUGUAAACAUUGGUUGUCAAGCAUAUACAUUUAGGCGUGUUAGGCAUUGCAGCAAACUUUAAAGGCGAGUCGAGAAAGGAAGCAUCUCUCCAUCAGCUUCUUGGUCUCUGACAUAGAGUUGAAUUGAGUUUAAUGACAGUCUGUAAAACUGAAAGGGUGCAUAUUAUCGCU
rnacentral:lncRNA from 8 species